GUUUGUUGUAGUGCAAUACUAGGUAUACACAUAUUACCUAGCUGAUUUCAAAACAUCGCGUUACACGGAUCACCUUACAGAAAUACAAUUCUUCUUUUUGUCCGGCGUAUAUUUAUAGGUAAAACAAAACGAAGUCUAUUUUAGUUACAUUAUUUUUUAAUGAACUGUAAAAGCGGCAAAACAGGGAAUGGAAAAUGUGCUAUUAGAGGAGAAUUUUUGUAGUAUGGGGUAUCAAAUCGCAGAUGGGUGGAAACUGAUAUCCAUCAGCAGGCAUCGUAAAUACAUGUUAUUUUAUACUGCGCAGCGAACUUGGUUAAUUUCGUCAGAUGCUAUAUUUGUGCAUUAAAUGUAAAUAAAACACUUCUUGACAUUCGA